rnacentral:rRNA from 1 species
CAGUCGCCACGGGAAUACGAGGGGGGCAAGCGUUGUUCGGAAUUAUUGGGCGUAAAGGGUGCGUAGGCGGUUUGACAAGUCUUAUGUGAAAUCUCUGGGCUCAACCCAGAGUCUGCAUGGGAAACUGUCGGGCUUGAGUAUGGGAGAGGUGAGUGGAAUUUCCGGUGUAGCGGUGAAAUGCGUAGAUAUCGGAAGGAACACCUGUGGCGAAAGCGGCUCACUGGACCAUAACUGACGCUGAGGCACGAAAGCUAGGGGAGCAAACAGGAUUAGAUACCCGCGUAGUCCCUGUCUCUUAUAC